UGCACUACUCUCGUCACGGAGUAGAUUCAUCACACAGUUCUUCACAAACCCCUCCCUCCCUAUAUAAACGCACUUCUGUAGAUGACAACGAAGACUCCCGAACAAGACUUUUAACAGAUUUACCAUGGACAGAAGAGAGUUGAGGAAUUAUGUUGACAUGCCACAUUUUCACCCAGAGAAAAAUGUUGUCGAAGGAAUAGAUCUGUACAGAAAUGGAAGACACAUUCACGAAAUUAAACACGACAUCGAUAAACACCCGGAACCAGCGAAAAUCCGCACCCUCAGUGUUGGAUCAGACGGGGGGACCACCUCGCCCAUUGUUGGAUCCCCCUCUUCAGUCAUUGGAUCAACAAAAAAGCAUUUCCCGGAAAAACAUACUGUUUGACCGCACGGUUCUACGUUAUAAUUAAUUUGUGUUACAUGUAUGUUUAAUCCAUUUUGAUCACUUUUAAUAAAUUUUUUAAUAUAUCUAUGUAUACACUUUGUAAUAUAUAGGCAUAUAAAAUUUAGAUUAAUUAAA